CAGGGAGCACAUUGAGCUGGAGUCUCUUGGGAAGGAAACACCCUGUUCUUACCUCCCUGGUUUAGCACCCUCAGAAUUGAUUCCCACAUGUAUUCCCAAGACUUUUACCAAGAGAAAGAGCAAAAUCUUGCAAUUACUGUGGUUUACGUCUCCUCCAUCCAGGUUUGGCUUUGAAACACGAGGGACAUGUUGGUAUCGAGCUCUGGUUUUGGUCUGAAGACAAUGAGAAGAGGAGAGGCUGGUUGUUGAGAUCCAGCUGCCACCAAGCAUCCCUCCCAGCUCUGAACUUCGUGUCUUGACCGAGCACCCAGGUGCCCAGGAGCCCUUAGCUGUGCCGCUGCCCCAGGGCUACUGUGCACAGCAUUCCUAUCCUCCAGACCUUUGCUGUGCCCCGACUGUGCUCCACACCAAGUUAAACGUGUCUGUCCGUGUUCCACUUCAGAGGACUAGAACUUCCAAGGUGCCUCUGAAGACUUCAUGUCAUGUGGCCUUCAGUCUCCAGAAGCCAUUCCUAAAGACUUAUGUUUUGCUGUAAGCAAUGACAUAUCCUGCUUCACAAGCCUAAAGCGAUAGAAAAACGUGGUGGUCUCUUCAUUUCCAUGAUCAGCACAUCUCAAGUGUUUGAUUCAUUGUUGAAUGAGCAGCCAAUUUACUGGCUGUAGUUUUUGUUCUUAGCCAUUUAGGACAAAGUCAACUUUCCUUGUGGCUAUUGGGUCUAAACUGCAAUCUUAAACUUUAAAUGCUAAGGGUUUCAAAAGUUUCAGGACUGCUGAGAGAUACAAGGGGG
rnacentral:lncRNA from 1 species